rnacentral:misc_RNA from 1 species
AAGUCGUAACAAGGUUUCCGUAGGUGAACCUGCGGAAGGAUCAUUAAUGUACCGGAUCGGUUCGGGUGGAGUAGGCAGUGAUGCUUGGUCCGGGCUGGGCGUCCGGCAAGGGAAAGGGUAAAUUCCAAUUAACCCAACCCCCUGUGUUAAAUCUACCUUUGUUGCUUUGGCGGGGCCGUCCGCGAGGCGUCAGCUCCGGCUGACCGCGCCCGCCAGAGGACCCAAACUCUUUUAUCAGUGAUGUCGAGUACUAUAUAAUAGUUAAAA